UACGGGGGGGGCAAGCGUUGUUCGGAAUUACUGGGCGUAAAGGGCUCGUAGGCGCCAACUAAGUCAGACGUGAAAUCCCUCGGCUUAACCGGGGAACUGCGUCUGAUACUGGAUGGCUUGAGUUUGGGAGAGGGAUGCGGAAUUCCAGGUGUAGCGGUGAAAUGCGUAGAUAUCUGGAGGAACACCGGUGGCGAAGGCGGUUCUCUGGGCAUGUCCUGACGCUGAGGAGCGAAAGUGUGGGGAGCGAACAGG
rnacentral:rRNA from 1 species